AAAUUGAAGAGUUUGAUCAUGGCUCAGAUUGAACGCUGGCGGCAGGCCUAACACAUGCAAGUCGAACGGUAACAGGAAGCAGCUUGCUGCUUCGCUGACGAGUGGCGGACGGGUGAGUAAUGUCUGGGAAACUGCCUGAUGGAGGGGGAUAACUACUGGAAACGGUGGCUAAUACCGCAUAACGUCGCAAGACCAAAGAGGGGGACCUUCGGGCCUCUUGCCAUCAGAUGUGCCCAGAUGGGAUUAGCUAGUUGGUGAGGUAACGGCUCACCAAGGCGACGAUCCCUAGCUGGUCUGAGAGGAUGACCAGCCACACUGGAACUGAGACACGGUCCAGACUCCUACGGGAGGCAGCAGUGGGGAAUAUUGCACAAUGGGCGCAAGCCUGAUGCAGCCAUGCCGCGUGUAUGAAGAAGGCCUUCGGGUUGUAAAGUACUUUCAGCGGGGAGGAAGGUGUUGUGGUUAAUAACCGCAGCAAUUGACGUUACCCGCAGAAG
rnacentral:rRNA from 1 species